GGGCUGUUAGUAAAAUAUUUACAUAGCCUUGUCAAGGCUAAAUUACAGGUGAAACCCCAGUACAACCCA
rnacentral:tRNA from 1 species